AAAUAAAUAUGAUUCCAAGGAAUGAGACUUUGGAAGUGAAGAAAGCUUAGGGAGAUUGAAUGCCAUAAAAAAAAUGCUAUUUGGACUUUAUAGUCGCAAACGAUCUUAAUUAAAGAGAGAAUGUGGAGGGAUCUUUUAAAAAAAAAUUGCAGAGCACGCAGAAAACUCUUUAGUAAGAGCUCAAAUUUGGAGGAUGACAAGAUGGCUGCCUCUGCCUUUGCCGGUGCAGUGAGAGCAGCUUCAGUAAUCUUAUGGCCUCUGAAUAUUUUGGCAUCUUCAGCCUAUCGAAGCAGUGUCAAAAAUACCUCUCUUAUUUCUGCAUUGUCCACUGGACGUUUUAGUCAUAUUCAGACACCAGUUGUUUCCUCCACUCCCAGACUUACCACAUCUGAGAGAAACCUGACAUAUGGGCAUACUUCAGCGAUCCUUAAUAGAGUGGUCCCCUUGCUUCCAAGUAUCUUGAAGCUGCCAGUCAGAUCUCUAACAUACGUCAGUAUAUGAAAAGGCAAGAGAAAGAUUGUGAAAGCUGUCAUCUAUGGGUUUCUUAGACUUCAUUGUGGCCUUUGGAAGAGAAGAGCUGGUUAUAAGAAAAAAUUAUGGAAAAAGACACCUGCAAGAAAAAAGCGAUUGAGGGAAUUUGUAUUCUGCAAUAAAACCCAGAGUAAACUCUUAAGAUAAAAUGACGACGUCCUUCUGGAAGAGGCGAAACUGGUGUGUCCAUGAUCCUUAUCAGAAGUAUCAUGAUCGAACAAACCUGAAAGUAUAGAUCAGAAGUUUCACUUGUUUCUCAGUUAUAGAAUAUGUAUCUUUGUGUACAUAUCUUUGCAAAAAUGGAUAAGUAAAAAACUCGAUGUAAAUUGUACCAAUGAAUAUGUAAACAUACAGUGACAGCAUUAAACUUAUAAAAGUUUUAAAACUUAAAAAGAAAAAGCUCAAAUCUGUAAAAGACAUGUAAAAAGAAGGUGGAAAAUGUAUUUAGAACCAGGGAAUGAUGCUAAAAGUUUGGUAGAGACAAAAGAGAAAAGAAUAGUCCUAAAAGUGGUUUAGGUUUGCAGCAGAUGCUGAUGAUAUCAAAACAAUCUUCACUUAAAAAAAAAAAAAAGACUCCAAAGUACAAGCAACAAAUGGAAAAAAUAGAUAAGUUAAACAUCAUCAAAAUUAACAACUUUUGUGCAUCAAAGGACACUAUCAAGAAUGUGAAAAGACAACUAGUAGAAUGGGAGUUAAUAUUUGCAAAUAAUAUAUCUGAUAAAGGAUUCAUAUUCAGAAUAUUUAUCACAGUAACAACUCAACAAUAAGCAAACUAACAACAUAAUUCAAUAAUGAUCAAAGGAAUUUAAUAAACAUUUAUUUGAAGAAGAUAUGCAGAUGGCCAGUAAACACGUGAAAAGAUGCUCAACAUAACCAGUCAAGAAGUGCAGAUCAAAACCAAAAUUAGAUACCACUUCCCACCCAUCAGAAUGACAAUUAUUUUAAAACAUGGAAAUUAACAAGUAUUGGUGAAGAUGUGGAGAAAUUGGAAACACUUGUGUAUUGCUGGUGGCAGUGUAAAAUGGGAAUGUAGAAGACAAUUUGGUGGUUCCUCAAGAUAUUAAACAUAGAAUUAUUACCAUAUGAUCUAGCAGUUCUGCUUCUAGGUAUAUUACCCAAAAUAACUGAAAGCAGGGACUCAGAUCAUUGUACACCAAUGUCCACAGGAGCAUUAUUCACAAUAGCUAAGAUAGAAGCAAAUCAAAUAUUC